UACAGAGGUCCCAAGCGUUGUUCGGAUUCACUGGGCGUAAAGGGUGCGUAGGUGGCGAGGUAAGUCGGAUGUGAAAGCUCGGAGCUCAACUCCGAAAUGGCAUUGGAAACUACCUUGCUCGAGGGUUGGAGGGGGGACUGGAAUUCUCGGUGUAGCAGUGAAAUGCGUAGAUAUCGUAAGGAAGACCAGUGGCGAAGGCGGGUCUCUGGACAGUUCCUGACGCUGAAGCACGAAGGCCAGGGAGCAAACGGG
rnacentral:rRNA from 1 species